GCCCUGUAGCUGCAGCCCUGUAGCUGCAGCCCUGUAGGUGCAGCCCUGUAGGUGCAGCCUCUGGCUCUGCAGACACAUACUAUUAGAGCAUCUGUUCCUGCAGAUCUUUGACUCUCCAUCAGAGAUCCACGAGAGGGAGCAGCUCACUGUGGAUGUUUUUCCAGCUCAGAUGUGUGUUUGAAGGCUGACUGUGUGUUUUGUCUUCCUUGUCGUCUUCCUGCUGUUUUGUCAGCCUCCACUACUCCAGGUGUGGGAGGGGAACCUGUAUUCGCUCUGAUUGCUCCAGUGGCUGCUAUUUUUGGAAGCACUCUGUCUUUUAUCUCCCCUCUUUUUGUCUCUCACGUUUUUCUUCGGUGCUGCAAAGCGACACUAACCGGAAUCAGCUAUAGAAGAAAGGCAGAGAUAAUUCGUGAUCGAAGUCGCUGCUCUUUUCAUCAAAUCGAGGCUGGAAACCUCCUGGAUGAAUCGAAUGGAUUGUCUUUUGUAUUUCUGGUGCCUGUUGCGUCUAAAAGGUCUGACAACAGCAGAGGAAAGAGCAUUUUGUUCUUGAAUUAGGUCACCAUGAAGAUGGUCGCUGUUGUUCGGAUCUUCAUCAGUCUGCUGCUGAUUUCACACUUCAGCAGAGGCCAGAAGCCCAGUGAUGACUCCGUCCACAGCUCCCACAUGGUGCUGUUCAGCACUCAGUCCCUCGCCAGCCUCCUGUUGCUGGUUCUGACUGCUGUCCUGUCCGGUGGCGUCUACCUGUGGAUCCUCAGAUACGUCUGCAUCGGCUGCUGCCAGCCCGUCCCGGUCGGCAUCGAGUCCGAAGCUCUGACUGGGGUGGUGUGAAGUCGCUAGAGUCCGUCUGACCGAGUUAAAGUCAGGCGGACGUUGAACUUUGUUUACAGGCGAAUCUACAAACUUGUGACCUGGCUUUGUCCACUGCAGAGCUCGGACUUUCAUAUCAGAAACGAUGUUCCUGUCAGGCUGAAAUGAGCGACGUCAUGUUUGCUGAAUAGAAGAUGAAUUUAUUUUCCGGUUAGUAACUGGUACUCACAAAGUGGUAACUUUUGCCCCCUUUGGCUGUGCAGAUCCCACGUUAUUUAGCCUGGAGUUAAUGUUUUGCUUUGUUUUUUCAGUGCUGGAAAAGAACCAAGUUAAUAAAUACAGAAAAAUGUCCGUAUGUUGUUGAUGAGCUGAAGACAGACACAACUAUACAGGUUGUUUCAACAGAAAGUCUGCGUUUGGUCACCAUGAACACCGGUAACAACUAGCUUCUGUGUCAACUAAUGAGUUUUUAAUACAUAAGCUCCAAGUAAACACAUCAGUAAACCCAUUAUCACAUGUACAACACCAGUGAGAAGUUUGGACACACGUUCUCUUUCAAUGGUUAUUAUUGAUUUUAGUUGUUUUAUACAUUUCAGAUUAAUACUGAAUACAAAUAGUACAAUAUUCAUCAAAUAUAUCAUCAGCGGCUAAAGUUUUCUGUUGGUAGAGACCAAAACGGAGUGAAAAGGAGAAUAAAUACUGAAGUAGCUUGACUCUAAUUAGUGUUAACAUUGAAGUCAGUUUGCUGGAUGAGUAAUAAGGCAGCUUUUUGCUAAGACAUGGCCAAAAAUUUGGACACAAAAUGCAUUGUAGACUAAUACUGAAGACUUCAAAACUAUGACAGAACACAAGUAGCAUUUAUGUUUUAGAUUCUCUGAUUCCUACUUUGCACACUCUUGGCAUUCUCUCCAUAAGCUUCAUGAGGUAGUCUCCUGAAAUGGUUUCACUUCACAGAUGUUCCUUGUCAAGGUUCAUUUGUGGAAUUUCUUUCCUUCUUAAUGGGGUUGGAACCAUCAGUUGUGUUGAGCAGAAGUCAGGUUGGUCCACAGUUGACAGUCCUAUUUGACAACUGCUAGAAUCCAUAUUAUGGCAAGAACCAAUCAGCUGAGUAAAGAGAAACAGUCCAUCAUUACUUUAAGAACUGAAGGUCAGUCAGUCUGAAAAAUUGCAAAAACUUUGAAUGUAUCCCCAAGUGCAGUUGCAAAAACCAUCAAGCGCUACGAUGAAACAAGCUCACAUGAGGACCUUCCCAGGAAAGGAAGACCAAGAGUCUCC
ensembl:lncRNA